GUGGGGAAUAUUGGACAAUGGGCGCAAGCCUGAUCCAGCAAUGCCGCGUGGGUGAAGAAGGCCUUCGGGUUGUAAACUGCUUUUGUACGGAACGAAACGGUCCGGGUUAAUACCCUGGGCUAAUGACGGUACCGUAAGAAUAAGCACCGGCUAACUACGUGCCAGCAGCCGCGGUAAUACGUAGGGUGCAAGCGUUAAUCGGAAUUACUGGGCGUAAAGCGUGCGCAGGCGGUUUUGUAAGACAGGCGUGAAAUCCCCGGGCUCAACCUGGGAAUUGCGCUUGUGACUGCAAGGCUGGAGUGCGGCAGAGGGGGAUGGAAUUCCGCGUGUAGCAGUGAAAUGCGUAGAUAUGCGGAGGAACACCGAUGGCGAAGGCAAUCCCCUGGGCCUGCACUGACGCUCAUGCACGAAAGCGUGGGGAGCAAACAGGAUUAGAUACCCGAGUAGUCC
rnacentral:rRNA from 1 species